UCUGAACCUUCGGGGAACGAUAACGGCGUCGAGCGGCGGACGGGUGAGUAAUGCCUAGGAAAUUGCCCUGAUGUGGGGGAUAACCAUUGGAAACGAUGGCUAAUACCGCAUGAUGCCUACGGGCCAAAGAGGGGGACCUUCGGGCCUCUCGCGUCAGGAUAUGCCUAGGUGGGAUUAGCUAGUUGGUGAGGUAAGGGCUCACCAAGGCGACGAUCCCUAGCUGGUCUGAGAGGAUGAUCAGCCACACUGGAACUGAGACACGGUCCAGACUCCUACGGGAGGCAGCAGUGGGGAAUAUUGCACAAUGGGCGCAAGCCUGAUGCAGCCAUGCCGCGUGUAUGAAGAAGGCCUUCGGGUUGUAAAGUACUUUCAGUCGUGAGGAAGGUGGUGUUGUUAAUAGCAGCAUCAUUUGACGUUAGCGACAGAAGAAGCACCGGCUAACUCCGUGCCAGCAGCCGCGGUAAUACGGAGGGUGCGAGCGUUAAUCGGAAUUACUGGGCGUAAAGCGCAUGCAGGUGGUUUGUUAAGUCAGAUGUGAAAGCCCGGGGCUCAACCUCGGAAUAGCAUUUGAAACUGGCAGACUAGAGUACUGUAGAGGGGGGUAGAAUUUCAGGUGUAGCGGUGAAAUGCGUAGAGAUCUGAAGGAAUACCGGUGGCGAAGGCGGCCCCCUGGACAGAUACUGACACUCAGAUGCGAAAGC
rnacentral:rRNA from 1 species